ensembl:lncRNA
AAGUCAGCUGUACUGAGUGUCGAUGACACAUGUGCCUCCCAUUUUUGAAGCUCUUCUCCCUGGCGCCUCAGUGUACUGUCUGAGCUGCCCCUGGGCUACAACCGUGAUUAAGAGGAGAGGUCUCUCUUUUGAAGGGGUUGGUGGUCUCUUGAGCUGAGGAAGUGGAACACGGGGUGAGUUUUCCUUUGUUUGUUCUUUCGUCCAUUCAUUGGUUCAUUAGGAAGCCCCUUCUCUGUGCUUGGUGCUGAGGAGGGGUUUUAACAGUCUCCUCCAGCAAUGGCGCUUCGGGGCAGGGGGGAGUAUGGGGAUGCUAAGUUUUGGGGGGAGCUUCCAGUAGAUUCAUUCAGGAGGAGACUCCUUUGGAGUAAGAUGGGAAGAGCAGCUUGCAGCCCCCUGGUAGAGGCCCUUGAACGGAGAGCAGAGUUUUGUUCUGGGGCAAGUUUGGGGCAGGCAAGCCCGAGUCUCUUUCCUGUCCUUGACCCUUGCUGUGGGACUCGCUUCUCUGCUUUUCAGUUGACGAGCCUGGCUGAUGGAAAACUGGAGGGCAUGCUGUGGGCUUCUCCCCUGCCACCUUCCCCGCUCUUGACGUCUUCUGGAAAUUGCCACCUUUAGGAGUCUGAGGAGCCAGGCAUCCUCGAGGGCAGGCUUCCUGUGUGGAGAGCCUUGUGGCUGAGGUCUGACCACACCACAAACCCACUGCUGCUCAUCAGUGUGGGCCAAGGAUGGAAGAGAAGCCAUGGUGCAGAGAGGGGUGUGGGUCAGGGGCUGAGGAUGCCUCCGGCCUUUCCUAAAAAGGAGGGAGCUGGACUUGCUUUUCCCUGAGACAUCUUCUGGUUGCGCCUCAGUCUACCCUGCGUUUGUCAUUUAGAUGGGGAGCUCCCCCACCAUCUCAUUCGGCAUGGGGUUUACAGGUCUAACAGGCCACGGUUUUAUGAGCUGCCUUGUGAAUAUUAAAAGUCGCAUUUCUUUUUCUGUUUCUUUGGAUUGCUUGAAUUUUUUAAGGUUGAGCAGUUUUUUAAAUAGCAAAGUGUAAAGUCCUAAGUCUUCUUAGAGGCUGUCAUUCUCCUGUGAUUUCAGCUCCCUAGCCUCCUUCGUGACUUUGAUCACCAAGUCCCCCGUUACGUUGGAAGAUUAAAGGCAUGUGGACGUCCGGGGGAGGGCAGCCUGGAGGUGACAUUCAAAAGCUCGAUUAGUCUUCUGCGGAUCAGCUCCUCCCCUCGUCCCCAUGCUACUCAUGCGGUGGAAAAAGCCGGUCAUUUGCCCUGUAGAAUUUCCCACACUGUGGAGUUGGCCUUUGUUUCCUCAUGGUGACAAAAAGCGUUCCCUUUGCAGAGAAAUCCACUAAACUUAACAAUUAUCCUGCAGGAGUGAGACACCAGGCAGGAAGGUUUAAAUGGAAACAACAGGGGAGAGAGAUGGGGGCUUCCGACCAUAAGAAAGAAAUCAGAGCAAACGGGCACGGCCCACAGGGAAGGUGAGGGAAACAGGGGCCAACGGAGAGGAGAGCCAGAAAGAACCCUCCAGAUGACUCGCUUACUCCUGCUUUCUCCCUGAGCUCUCUGUGGUCCAGCACCUGCCCUCCAUCCCCAGCCCAGCUUCUCACCCCCCAGGCUGUGUGGUGGGGACAGGGCAGCAAGGGAGUAAGGUGUGGGUGGGGGGCAUUUUCCCCAUAUGGAGGUACUGCUGAGCUGAAACUUAGGAAGAGAUUUUUUUAUUAUUAUCAUUCCUCUUGAACCACAUGCUUAAAAAAAAAAAAGACAAAUACGUUUAAAAUCAAAUCAGUUUUGAAGGGGCAGCAUCUUUAUCAUCUACCGUCCUUGGGAUUCAUUUCACGUUCAAAGAAAUAGAAAACGACUUGCAAAAAGGCGAAUUAGACCCAGAUUUGCCCGCAGGUGGCAUCUCAGGCCGUAAUUUAACGGCACUUCAUCAACAUUGCCUUUUCUGGGCCCAAUGAGUAGCUUGCGCUGUAGGAAAAGUGCUUUGCCAUAAUUUUUCAUUAGCUUCACGAGUCAUGCCAUUUGGAACCAUGUGAGGUGGCUCAUGUUUUAGUGAUUUUUAAAAACACUUGACAAUCAGAAAUUCAAGCACCAAAUGCCUGUGAGUCAGGGACCAUUUAGACAUCUGAGACAGGACCAGGAUUAAAGGUCA